GCCUGGUCCAAGAGAAGUGGUGUUUACAACUAAUUGAUCACAAUCAUUUACAGAUUUCUUUGUUUUUUCUGCACUCCCACUGCUUCACUUGACUAGUCUUAA
ensembl:misc_RNA Y_RNA Y RNA